ACUAUUUUGGCAGAUAACUGCGUUAAAUUUAGAAUUUAAUUAUAUAAUUUUAAUUAUAAAUAGUA
rnacentral:tRNA from 1 species